rnacentral:rRNA from 1 species
UACGGAGGGGGCGAGCGUUAUUCGGAAUUAUUGGGCGUAAAGGGCGCGUAGGCGGCUCUAUAAGUCAAAGGUGAAAUCCCUCGGCUCCAACUGAGGAACUGCCUUUGAAACUGUUGGCUUGAGGCCGGGAGAGGGUAGUGGAAUUCCCAGUGUAGCGGUGAAAUGCGUAGAUACUGGGAGGAACACCAGUGGCGAAGGCGGCUACCUGGACCGGUACUGACGCUGAGGCGCGAAAGCGUGGGUAGCAACAGG